rnacentral:rRNA from 1 species
ACUUUACAAUGCGGGAAACCGUGAUAAGGGGACACCGAGUGCUAGCAUCAUAUGCUAGCUGUCCAGGCGUGUAAACUACGCCUGUUAGCAAGGGCCGGGCAAGACCGGUGCCAGCCGCCGCGGUAAUACUGGCGGCUCGAGUGGUGGCCACUUUUAUUGGGCUUAAAGCGUUCGUAGCUGGGUUGUUAAGUCUCUUGGGAAAUCUGGCGGCUUAACCGUCAGGCGUCUAAGGGGAUACUGGCAAUCUUGGAACCGGGAGAGGUGAGGGGUACUUCGGGGGUAGGAGUGAAAGUCCUGUAAUCCUCGAGGGACCACCUGUGGCGAAGGCGCCUCACCAGAACGGCUUCGACAGUGAGGGAC